GGAGGAUGUGAUGAAGAAUGGGCGAGGGCACGCCUGUCUCAGUUUGUGUGCAUGUGGGUGUAUGCAGGUUUGUGUGCAUGUGUGUCUUGCCUGUCUGAGUGUGUGUGCAUCUCAUGGGAGCAGGACCACAGGCUCGGCGUUCUGAGGAAGGCGCUGUGGCAGCCUCUGCUCUGAGUCUACUGAGUCGUGCAAUGUGCGUCUGUUCUCCAUCUCACAGAAUCCAUGGGACUGAGGUAUGUUUGUGCUGCUUUAAGGCCCUGCCAAUUGUCUGUGGCUCAGCUUUCAGCACAACAGGCUGGAGACUGCAUAUUUCUACAUGUUAUUGAGAUAGGUUCCAAAACCCUAAGGAAAAAGAAUGCAGGCUUGUAGGACUGGCAGUACAUCUGCCCCUGCUCAGAGGAAUGCAGGGCUGUGUGUGGGUAGGAUAUGGGGUUGAGGACUAGUGUUUGGGGGCAAACCAGCUGCGAACAGUGCAGGUAAAGCAGGCUGGCCACAGCACAGGAAAUGUUAACAUGCCUUUCCUCGAGCAUCUGGCAGGAAGGGCUUCCUUUACUGCACUAAACAGGUGGCACUUUUAAUGCUGCCAACUCUCACAGAGUCUGUGCACCUAGAAAUGCAAAAGAAGCAGGGAAGGAAAAUGAGACCUGGGUACUAGUGAUGUAGAGGUGUGAUGUAGGUGGAAGGAGGCUGUUUUAGGUUUGGUUUUUUUUUAGGUUUUCUUUUUUGGUCGAAGUUUAAAUUGAUUUGCGAUAUUUUAUUAAUUUCAAGUGUACAACAUAAUGACUCAAUAUUUUUAUAGAUUAUACUCCAUUUACAGUUAUUAUAAAAUAGUGGCUAUAUUUCCCUGUUCUAUACAGUCUUGUUGCUUAUUUAUUUUAUAUCAAUAUAUAGUAGGGACUUGGUGGUCCAGUGGUAAAGAAUCCACCUUCCAAUUCAGGGGGUGCAGGUUUGACCCCUGGUCAGGGAACUAAGAUCCCACAUGUGGAGGAGCAGCUAAGCCCACGCACCACAACUACUGAGCUCGCAUGCUUCAACUACACCAGAGAGCCUGCGUGUGGCAAACUACAGAGCCCAUGUGCUCUGGAGCCUGCAAGCUGCAACUAGAGAAGAGAAAACCCACAUGCCGCAACUAGAGAGCCCGCAAUGAAGAGCCCACCAUGAAGAGCAUGCAUGCGCCACAGUGAAAGCUCCCACAGGCCUACAUGAAGUUCCCGUGUGCUGCAGCUACGACCUGAUGCAGCCCAAAAUAAGUAAAUAAGAAACAAAGUCAACAGCGCUUGGCUUUUGGGGUGAAGGUCACCACGUCACUGGUGCUGUUAAGAACACGCAGACAUGGCGUUUCGGGCCAAACUCAGCCCUGGGAAGCAGUUCCUGGAGUGGAGGAGGGCUGAUUCCCUGGCCUUGGCCAUCUGAGGAGGGACUGGACCAAGGCAGGAGGCAAUGUACUUCUACUGGACCCAGACGGUCUGGGCUUGAAUCUUGACCUUGGGUGAUUUAUCUCCAUAUCAUGAUUGGGUCCUGCUAACAGCUGAACUUUAUCUUUUAUUUCGUUCACCUGCUUUCAUUUACCAAGCUACCUGAUCCAUCACAUCGCACAAUAUACUGGGCCUAUGGUUUCCCACUGCUCUACAUUUUCCCAGACUCCCCUGUCGUUGGAUGUGGCCUGAGACUGGUUCUGCUAAUGGAUGAUGAGGGGAAGUGACUUGCAUCUUUCCUAGGUCUGGCCUCCAUGCUCUUUCCCUUCUUUGGAUCAUCCAAGUGAUGAUGCUCAGGGCAACCUUGAAAGCCACAUGUUGAAGAUGGAGGAAUUUCCAUCAGUUUGGGUGCUCGAAUGACCAAACAUUCCCUCUGGACUGUUACAUGUGCAAAAAAGAACUUUUGUUAUGUUGGAGUCAUUAUAUUCUGGGUCUGUUUGUCACCUCAGUUUAAGCUACUCCAACUAACACACUUUCCUGGCAUUUUGGAGAUCUCAAGCCUAUGUUCAGUGACAUGGAUGACUUCCCUGAAGCCAACCACUGUGCCUGUACCCAGCUAAGAACACCAGAGAUGUGGAGAAAGCACCCAGGGAAAGACAGACAGGAGGAAGCACCUGCACG